rnacentral:rRNA from 1 species
UACAGAGGUCUCAAGCGUUAGGCGGAAUCACUGGGCUUAAAGCGUGUGUAGGUGGGUUUGUAAGUACCUUGUGAAAUCCCAUGGCUCAACCAUGGAACUGCUUGGUAUACUGCGAAUCUUGAGCUGUCUAGAGGUUACUGGAACAAACGGUGGAGCGGUGAAAUGCGUAGAUAUCGUUUGGAGCGCCAAUGGUGAAAACAGGUAACUGGGGACACGCUGACACUGAGACACGAAAGCCAGGGGAGCAAACGGG